GAUGAACGCUGGCGGCGUGCCUAAUACAUGCAAGUCGAGCGAACAGACGAGGAGCUUGCUCCUCUGACGUUAGCGGCGGACGGGUGAGUAACACGUGGAUAACCUACCUAUAAGACUAGGAUAACUUCGGGAAACCGGAGCUAAUACCGGAUAACAUGUUGAACCGCAUGGUUCAACAGUGAAAGACGGUUUUGCUGUCACUUAUAGAUGGAUCCGCGCCGCAUUAGCUAGUUGGUAAGGUAACGGCUUACCAAGGCAACGAUGCGUAGCCGACCUGAGAGGGUGAUCGGCCACACUGGAACUGAGACACGGUCCAGACUCCUACGGGAGGCAGCAGUAGGGAAUCUUCCGCAAUGGGCGAAAGCCUGACGGAGCAACGCCGCGGGAGUGAAGAAGGUCUUCGGAUCGUAAAACUCUGUUAUUAGGGAAGAACAAAUGUGUAAGUAACUAUGCACGUCUUGACGGUACCUAAUCAGAAAGCCACGGCUAACUACGUG
rnacentral:rRNA from 1 species